UUUCCGUAGGUGAACCUGCGGAAGGAUCAUUAUUGUAUAACCGAGGUGCUAGCGCUGUCUCUGACCCGACAGGUCGUGCACGCCCGAGUGCCCUCACUCACCUCCCUCUCACCCCUAUGUGCACCACCUCGUGGGUCCCCCUGGGGCUUGUUCGGAGGGGGGGUUACGUUUUCACACAUACGUUGUAUGCAGUGUACACUGUAUUCUUUGUUUUUGCGAUCACGCAAUAAAUAAAACUUUCAACAACGGAUCUCUUGGCUCUC
rnacentral:misc_RNA from 1 species